CGACACUGAAUACAUGGCGGAGGAGUUGGCGGACUUAAAGGGCGGGUCUGGGCUAGUUUUAAGGGGAACCGCUGGCUCCGAAAAGAUCGUCGUAGACCUUUUUUUUCAUCACCCAGUGACCUCUGCUCCGAGCUAAAUGGACGUAAGGCCUCGCGCCACCGUGUCCUCCCCUUUAAGACUAGCUCCAGCUGUAAUCCAUAGGAAGCAGAUCCUAGAGGGCAACAUGGGCGUGUUCAGGAGUUCUGGACUAGAACCUCUGAGAACCCAGUAAUGGAUUUUUGUCCUCUGUGAGAGACAUGAGUUUCAUUGCUUUAUCUUAAAAAAACGCUGUCAACUGCCAAUGACAUUCCAUAAAAAUACAUAAAUAAAAAUG